rnacentral:tRNA from 1 species
GCCUGGGUGGCUCAGCCGGUUGAGCAUCUGACUUCAGCUCAGGUCAUGAUCUCGCUGUCCGUGAGUUCGAGCCCUGUGUCAGGCU